rnacentral:lncRNA from 1 species
AGCACUAGUUGAUCAAGAAUUGCACAAGAAUAUCAAUUAUAAAAAUUUGGCUUCUAAACAAAUAUUUACUAGGUGGCAAUAACUUUUUUCACUUCAAAUUUUAAGAUAAACCGACUACUCUCUAACUUUGAUCCAAGUUUUUACAGAAAAAUAGACCACAAAAAAAAUACAAAAUAGAAGGACUUCUCUUGAGAAAGAAAAUUUUUUUCAAAAUUACAAGCUAGAAUUUUCUCAAAAGACUUAUGA